rnacentral:rRNA from 1 species
UACGUAGGGUGCAAGCGUUAAUCGGAAUUACUGGGCGUAAAGCGUGCGCAGGCGGCUUCUCAAGUCAGGGGUGAAAGCCCAGAGCUUAACUCUGGAAUUGCCUUUGAGACUGAGAGGCUUGAGUACGGGAGAGGUGAGUGGAAUUCCCAGUGUAGAGGUGAAAUUCGUAGAUAUUGGGAAGAACACCGGUGGCGAAGGCGGCUCACUGGCCCGUAACUGACGCUCAUGCACGACAGCGUGGGGAUCAAACAGG